GGAAACAGGGUUUUAUUGUGGUGCUGGCUGGCCAGGGCCUGGUUUUCUUGGUCCCAGGUCCACAUCAUACCUGAUAGAAGGAUAAUGUGGGAAGAGGGGCAGAUAUGCUGUGAGUGCCAGUGCUGGUUCCCACAGCUGCUGGAACAAGUUGCCACAAACUUAGUGGCUUUAAACAACAGACAUUUAUUUUUUCAUAGGUUGAGAGGCCAGAAGUCUGAAAUCAAGGCAUUAGUAGGGCCACAUUGUCUCUGAAAUCUCUAGGGAAGAAUCUUUCCUUGCCUAUUCGAGUUCCUGGUGGUGGCUGGUGUUCCUUGGCGUGCAGCAGCACAAUUCCAAUCGUUGCCUCUGCUCCCCAUGGCCUUCUCCUCUUCUCUCUCUUAUAGGAAUAUUUGCCAUUGGACUUAGGACUCGCUUCUGUAAUACUGGAUGAUCCCAUGUCAGGAUCCUUAAACUAAUUACAUCUGCAAAGAGCUUUUUCCCAAAUAUGGUCAUAUUCACAGGUUGGAGUGCGAGAGAGACAUAUCUUUUUGGAACCACCAUUCAACCCACUAGUGUGUCUAAGCACUCCGAGAGUUCUGUCAUGUACUCGUAAUACACCUGAGAGGAGGGUAUUAUUCCCAUGUUUCAGAAGAUAAAACUGAGGCUCAGAGAGGUGAGAUAACUUGUACCAGUUCAUAUCAUCAGUGAGUGGCUGGACUAGGAUGGAAACUGAGGGCUUCACCACCCAGGCAAGAGGGCAGGGGCCAGCCUGUGGAAAGAUAUGGAAGAAUGCAAGCUCGGCCCACGGAAGAGCUGUGAGCAGCUUCAUCCUGCUGCAGUGGUGAGUGUGUGAGGGUGGGAAUGAUGGGAGAGGAGGCUGAAGGAGAGCAGGGCAGGUCUUUUAAGACCUUUGACCCAGGCUAAGGAGUUUGGGCUUGACCUGGGGAUACAGAGGAUCCUUGGAGACUUCGGAGCUCUCAGAGAUGAAGAGCAGACCUCUGGGUUGCAUGGAAGAUGGAUUGCAGAGAGGUAAACCUAGAGAGAAGGGCCUGUCAGGAGGAUGGGAAGAACAGCACCAGUGCAGAUGGAAAGGGAAGGAAGAGUCUGAAGUUAAGGGGAGGUCCAAGUGACAGGAUUAAAUGACCAAUGAAUUCAGAUAAAUUUAGGAAUCUAGGAAGUUCCCAGGUUCAACUCCUGAGUGUAUUGUGGUGCCUCUCACAACGCUGGAAGGAUGUGGCAGUGGGCAGCCAUGGUUUGUAGCUGCCCAAGAUCCUUGGACACUUUCCUUGUACUCAGGUCUGAGUCAGUUAUCUCCCAGUGCGCUUGCAGAGGUGCAGGUGUGCGCACUGGGCUGUGUGAUCGGACAGCCCACAUGAGCCUUUCACAGGAAAGAAGCAACUCGUAGAAAGGGCUCUGCAGGGGCCUGGACGUCAGCAGAUGAUGGCAGAGGAAGCUGAACGGAGAGCUGGGCCAGGUCUCAUCAGCAGAGGAGCUGCCUUUGGGAGACGCCUUCCUUGUUAGGCAAUUCUGUGGUUGGUUCUGGACAUUGUUCUUGGACACUCAGCUGCAUCCUGCUU
rnacentral:lncRNA from 1 species